rnacentral:tRNA from 1 species
GAGGGUAGAGCUCAGUAGUAGAGUGAGUGUUUAGCACGCAUGAGGUCCUGGGUUCGAUCCCCUGUACCCCCA